rnacentral:lncRNA from 1 species
GAAUUUCUUAAAAGCAUGGCUCGUGCCAAAAUUAUUCUCAUACUCAGUUAUCAAGGAUACCUUGGCCGAGGGCUAUCCCAAACUGAGAUCGCCAAGGCUAUUAAAAAGUUAUGUACUCAUAAAUCAUGUUUUUAUUUUGAAAAUAUAGCCGUUCCUUAGCAUUGGCUGAGUUCCCCCUCACGUGGUGGUUUGACGUGAAGUGAACUCUAAAAUGUUAGCCUCAGGAGUUAUCCACCCGCGCCUCUCACACUGAGGUAAGAUAUAACAGGGUUUA